rnacentral:rRNA from 1 species
AAAAGCGUAAACGGUAUACGAUGGACCCGCGUCUGAUUAACUAGUUGGCGGGGUAGAGGCCCACCAAGGCGACGAUCAGUAGCCGGCCUGAGAGGGUGACCGGCCACAUUGGGACUGAGACACGGCCCAAACUCCUACGGGAGGCAGCAGUGGGGAAUAUUGCACAAUGGGGGGAACCCUGAUGCAGCGACGCCGCGUGAGUGAAGAAGUAUUUCGGUAUGUAAAGCUCUAUCAGCAGGGAAGAAAAUGACGGUACCUGACUAAGAAGCCCCGGCUAACUACGUGCCAGCAGCCGCGGUAAUACGUAGGGGGCAAGCGUUAUCCGGAUUUACUGGGUGUAAAGGGAGCGUAGACGGUUAUGCAAGUCUGAAGUGAAAGCCCAAGGCUCAACCAUGGGACUGCUUUGGAAACUGUAAAACUGGAGUGCAGGAGAGGUAAGCGGAAUCCCUAGUGUAGCGGUGAAAUGCGUAGAUAUUAGGAGGAACACCAGUGGCGAAGGCGGCUUACUGGACUGUAACUGACGUUGAGGCUCGAAGGCGUGGGGAGCAAACAGGAUUAGAUACCCUGGUAGUCCACGCGGUAAACGAUGAUCGCUAGGUGUCGGUGGGUAGAGACCCAUCG